UAGCUCAGUGGUAGAGCACAUUCUUAACAUGCAUGAGGUCCUGGGUUCAAUCCCCAG
rnacentral:tRNA from 1 species